UUGUUUUAUCACGAAUGACAAACAUUAGUGUUGUUUUACGCGGACUGAACAAUCUCAUCAUGACCUGAAAUACAGUUUUGAGGAGAGGCUUAUUUGCAGCCUGCUCACGGCCAAUAUCGUGACACCACAUGUUUAUUAGCACUAUAUCUGACACGGCAAGCGCAAAGAGGGCACUUUGCUUCUCAAAUGCGGUGUCAUCCUCUCCUCGCUCUCUUCCAUCAGUUCCCUCCAAAUCCAUUACAAGUGUACACGGCUCAAUGCCAGCACAUCUAGCCAACCAUAUACCUUUAGUUGUUUGAGACCUCCCUUUAAAA
rnacentral:misc_RNA from 1 species